UUAACCACCGUGCCACCUACUGGCCCAAUAAUAGGUAUUUAAGAAAGAGGAAAAGAAUUAAAACAUCCAGGCUCUGAAGGCUAGCAAGGGCACAUCUUUAAAAGCAAACAGCAGCACCUUUUGAAAACCGGGAAGAGUUUACCCUAACGCCUUCAAACUCUUCAAGUAUUUUUGGUAUAAAAACAAAACAAAACAAAACUUCGAUAAGGCUAAAAUAACCUGAUGAAAAUACAUUAAUCUCAAAAAGGACUGGUAGUAAGUGGAUCUGAAAUGUGUUAAAAUGCUAUCUGUGAUAAAAACGAGCACAUGUUUAAGCUAAAACUCGUCGGAUGCCUGCAGCACAGGGGGCAGCUCCAGCAGACCGCCUUGUCGGAACUCCGAGUUGGGAAUUCCGCUUAAUGAGGACACCGGGGAUGGCUGGGGCUGUGCAGAUGACCGGAGGACAUCGGGGAUGGCUGGGGCUGUGCAAGUGACCGGAGGACACUGGGGAUGGCUGGGGCUGUGCAGAUGACCGGAGGACACCGGGGAUGGGCGGGGCUGUGCAGAUGACCGGAGGACACCGGGGAUGGCUGGGGCUGUGCAGAUGACCGGAGGACACCGGGGAUGGCCGGGGCUGUGCAGAUGACCGGAGGAGAUAAUCGGGUCUUUGGUCUGGAAGAAGCUGUCCAUAGCUAAAGACAGAUUAUGUCACUCAAAAAAAAAGGCUGUUGGAUGUGAACCGGAAGUGGCAGUUCUGGUGCUGAGAAGUGAAGGAUUUGACUUUGCCCUGGACCUGCAGCAGCGGGGAAACGGGGACUUUGAUGCCUCCUGUGGCCUCCACAGGGCCACGCUCCACUGCCCCUGACUGUGCACUUAGUGAAAAGUUCAUUCCUGAGUGAGAGGCAGACAGAAACAGACACAGCACCCCAGGCAGGGUCCUCAGCUCCCCGGGCGACCAGGUCACGCACACGCAUGUGCCUAGGGCGGUCUCUGGCCGCAAACCCGUAACCUUCCCAUGAGGACCUGGCAGAGGGCGCGUUUCGCCUGUGCCACCGCACGGCUCCCUGCCGCCACAUCCGCCGCCCACCAGCACCCUAGCUUCUCCUGGAAAUCUGUCCCCGAGAACACGGGACCAGAACGCCCGGCAAGGGUGUGUGUGUGUGUGUGGGUGUGUGCCACUCAGCUCUUCACUGGCCACUUAAAUCACACCUACCAAAAGAACGGAAUGAGGACUGGAGUUCUUAGAUGGGCGUGCGCGAGAGAGCAAGAGAGGAGAGCACCCCGAGAGUGCGACCAUCCACCCGGCACGCGUUUUGGAAGCCCCUGUCUGGGCCCGGGACUGGGACUUGAGCCGGCGCAGUGUGCAUCCUGCCACGUGGCCAGCCUGCCCCUCGUCCUCAGAGAGGAAGCCCAGAGGGCUCUGAGCAAGGGAGGCUGCAGAAUCGCCUGGACGCAGGCGAGCAGGCGACGGGGGCUGAAGGCGGAAUUCAGCGGUUAGAAUUGCGUGCAUUUGGGGACCCCGCCAGAUUCAGGAAGUUAGGGUCCCUGUUAACUGGGACUGCAGAUUGCGCAGGGGAGAGUGAGGAGAGGAAGGCCCCCCCUGUUCUUUACCUUGCACACCUUCUGCAUUGUAAACUACAAGAAGUGUGUAUUUUCUGUGAAUUUUUCAAUUUAUACUAAAUUUAAACAUUUAUAAAAAUCCUCUGUGACAUUUAUAAGUAGGUGACACACGGACCUUUGGAAGAGGCCAAAGACAAGUCCGUAGGCCGUUUUAGGUAAAUUGUAUUUAAGGUGUCAGAUCCAACAGCUCUAAGUUUCCCAGUGGGGCAGCUGGGAUUACAACCCGAGAGCCCUGUCAGCUCAAGGCUGGUCCUGAAGGUAGGGGCAGGCAGUGUGCAGUCCCUCCCAGGAGAGGUGGCAGUCAGGCCAUUCUCGCUGAGGUAGGUGCCACCGAAGUCCCUGACUGGGCUGAGCUGCUCCCUAGGGGCCAGAUGCCCCUGUGUGGAGUCACUGGCAAGCCUCGAGCCCACUGCUUCAGGAGCUUGGACUCAACUCCCACCCCAGACGCCCGAAGAGCCCAAGACAAGUCCUGACCACAUCCGAGUCCAGUCGAAGAGCCCAAGACAAGUCCUGACCACAUCCGAGUCCCUGACUGGACGUGUAGCUACUAUAGGAAGAAAACACCGAGUCCUGAAAGUCAUGUCGCUGGAUUCCCACGUAGUCGACCCCUGUUCGAAUCCUGGUGGUCUAAAACGGACACUGGACUGGGCUCCUGUGCCCGCAUUCUCAAGAUCCCAAGAGGAAAAGAUUGUGGGAGCAUGUGAGCACACAACAGAGAGGACCACCCGGACUGGCUCAUCACCCACGUCCCCCCCCGCCUCAGCCCUCCAGCGCCUGGAUCCUGGGUGGGGUGAGCUUGCUUGGCAUUUUUAGAGCCAGCCCUGGUACCCAAACCCGUGCUCGGCCAUGUGGCCUUCACUGCUGUAGUUUGAUUUGUUACCAGCUGUCCCCAGGAGGGCCCAUAUCCUCUAAUUUAAACCGACAAUACGAUGCAUGGGGGUCCUUGUACUACCAAUCUGUGUGUCCGCUAACUUAGUGGGCCUAAACUUAAACACUUACAGAUCUGCUGUGAUUUCAGCCACUGGGUCUGGGCCUGCACCUGCGGUCAGCCCUGUGGGAGUCCAGAGCCUCAGCCUCCUGUUUUGUUCACAGCUACAUUCUCCUACAAGGGGAUGGCUUGCUUAUGCUUCUAGCUUAUUCUACUGAAGUAAGUAAAUCCCUGCAGGGAAGAGAUAUUUAUUCAUCUUGUAGAUUACGCAGGAUCCACUGGUGUGAGCCCCGAGAGGGCCCCAUGUGCUCCAACCCUACUGUCUGGAAACCAGGCAAACUUGGAUCUCGCUGGUGCCAGCAGAAGAGGCUUCUCUGAAAAACCUGGAUCUACUGGAUGCCGAAGGAGAGAAACGCCGAGGGGCGUCACGGAGGGGAGCAGGGGGUCGAUGUGCCGUGCAGCGACGUGAAAAGCACACGUAAUAAUACGAACCACCGUGUAAACAUGACGACAGACAACACCGACCGGAAACACGGAAACCCAGCAGGGCGCCGUGGGGUGUGCAGACGUGUGCGUGCG